rnacentral:miRNA from 1 species
UGUAAACAUCCUCGAC